rnacentral:rRNA from 1 species
AACCUUACCUACCCUUGACAUGGUCGGAAUCCUGAAGAGAUUCGGGAGUGCUCGAAAGAGAACCGGCGCACAGGUGCUGCAUGGCUGUCGUCAGCUCGUGUCGUGAGAUGUUGGGUUAAGUCCCGCAACGAGCGCAACCCUUGUCCUUAGUUGCUACGCAAGAGCACUCUAAGGAGACUGCCGGUGACAAACCGGAGGAAGGUGGGGAUGACGUCAAGUCCUCAUGGCCCUUAUGGGUAGGGCUUCACACGUCAUACAAUGGUCGGAACAGAGGGUUGCCAACCCGCGAGGGGGAGCUAAUCCCAGAAAACCGAUCGUAGUCCGGAUUGCACUCUGCAACUCGAGUGCAUGAAGCUGGAAUCGCUAGUAAUCGCGGAUCAGCAUGCCG